rnacentral:rRNA from 1 species
UACGAAGGGGGCUAGCGUUGUUCGGAAUUACUGGGCGUAAAGCGCGCGCAGGCGGUUUUCCAAGUCAGUGGUGAAAGCCCGGAGCUCAACUCCGGAAAUGCCAUUGAAACUGCAAAACUUGAGUACGAGAGAGGUGAGUGGAAUUCCCAGUGUAGAGGUGAAAUUCGUAGAUAUUCGCAAGAACACCAGUGGCGAAGGCGGCUCACUGGCCCGAUACUGACGCUGAGGCACGAAAGCGUGGGGAGCAAACAGG